AACGAACGCUGGCGGCAUGCCUAACACAUGCAAGUCGAACGAGACCUUCGGGUCUAGUGGCGCACGGGUGCGUAACGCGUGGGAACCUGCCCUUAGGUUCGGAAUAACUCCCCGAAAGGGGUGCUAAUACCGGAUAAUGUCUUCGGACCAAAGAUUUAUCGCCUUUGGAUGGGCCCGCGUUGGAUUAGCUAGUUGGUAGGGUAAAAGCCUACCAAGGCGACGAUCCAUAGCUGGUCUGAGAGGAUGAUCAGCCACACUGGGACUGAGACACGGCCCAGACUCCUACGGGAGGCAGCAGUGGGGAAUAUUGGACAGUGGGCGAAAGCCUGAUCCAGCAAUGCCGCGUGAGUGAUGAAGGCCUUAGGGUUGUAAAGCUCUUUUACCCGGGAUGAUAAUGACGGUACCGGGAGAAUAAGCUCCGGCUAACUCCGUG
rnacentral:rRNA from 1 species